GCGUCCUUAGCUCAGUUGGUUAGAGCACCACCUUGACAUGGUGGGGGUCGGUGGUUCGAGUCCACUAGGACGCACCA
rnacentral:tRNA from 11 species